rnacentral:rRNA from 1 species
GACGAACGCUGGCGGCGUGCUUAACACAUGCAAGUCGAACGGAAAGGCCCUGCUUUUGUGGGGUGCUCGAGUGGCGAACGGGUGAGUAACACGUGAGUAACCUGCCCUUGACUUUGGGAUAACUUCAGGAAACUGGGGCUAAUACCGGAUAGGAGCUCCUGCUGCAUGGUGGGGGUUGGAAAGUUUCGGCGGUUGGGGAUGGACUCGCGGCUUAUCAGCUUGUUGGUGGGGUAGUGGCUUACCAAGGCUUUGACGGGUAGCCGGCCUGAGAGGGUGACCGGCACCCUUGGGAGUGGGGUGCGGCAGAGAUGCCGGCGGGGGGGAGGAGUGGGGAAUGUGGAACGAGGGGAGGAAGACUGAUGCAGCGAGGCCGGGGGCGGGUUGGCUGCUUGGGGGUGUCGAGCCGUUUUGGCGUGGGAGGGGGGGGGGGGGAUGGGAAGGGGAAAAGAAGAACCGGCUAACUAGGGGCCAGCAGCGGCGGGAAUCAGCGGAGAGCGCCCGGCGGAAC